rnacentral:rRNA from 1 species
GAUGAACGCUGGCGGCGUGCCUAAUACAUGCAAGUCGAGCGAACGGACGAGAAGCUUGCUUCUCUGAUGUUAUCGGCGGACGGGUGAGUAACACGUGGAUAACCUACCUAUAAGACUGGGAUAACUUCGGGAAACCGGCGCUAAUACCGGAUAAUAUUUUGAGCCGCAUGGUUCAAAAGUGAAAGACGGUCUUGCUGUCACUUAUAGAUGGAUCCGCGCUGCAUUAGCUAGUUGGUAAGGUAACGGCUUACGAAGGCAACGAUGCAUAGCCGACCUGAGAGGCGGAUCGGCCACACGGGAACGUGGACGCGGACAAGACGCCUGCGGUAGGCAGCAGUAGGGAAUCGGCCGCAAUGGGCGAAAGCCUGACGGAGCAACGCCGCGUGAGUGAUGAAGGUCGUCGGAGCGUAAAACUCUGUUAUUAGGGAAGAACAUAUGUGUAAGGAGCUGUGCACAUCGUGACGGUACCUAAUCAGAAAGCCACGGCUAACUACGUG